rnacentral:rRNA from 1 species
UCGAUUUGGAGUUUGUUGCCCUGAGUGAUGGGCUCCGAAGCUAACGCGAUAAAUCGACCGCCUGGGGAGUACGGCCGCAAGGUUAAAACUCAAAUGAAUUGACGGGGGCCCGCACAAGCGGUGGAGCAUGUGGUUUAAUUCGAUGCAACGCGAAGAACCUUACCUGGUCUUGACAUCCACAGAAUCUUGCAGAGAUGCGAGAGUGCCUUCGGGAACUGUGAGACAGGUGCUGCAUGGCUGUCGUCAGCUCGUGUUGUGAAAUGUUGGGUUAAGUCCCGCAACGAGCGCAACCCUUAUCCUUUGUUGCCAUCGGUUAGGCCGGGAACUCAAAGGAGACUGCCGUUGAUAAAGCGGAGGAAGGUGGGGACGACGUCAAGUCAUCAUGGCCCUUACGACCAGGGCUACACACGUGCUACAAUGGCGUAUACAAAGGGAUGCGACCUCGCGAGAGCAAGCGGACCUCAUAAAGUACGUCUAAGUCCGGAUUGGAGUCUGCAACUCGACUCCAUGAAGUCGGAAUCGCUAGUAAUCGUGAAUCA